rnacentral:rRNA from 1 species
AUUGAACGCUGGCGGCAUGCCUUACACAUGCAAGUCGAACGGUAACAGGUCUUCGGAUGCUGACGAGUGGCGAACGGGUGAGUAAUACAUCGGAACGUGCCUAGUAGUGGGGGAUAACUACUCGAAAGAGUGGCUAAUACCGCACGAGAUCUACGGAUGAAAGCAGGGGAUCGCAAGACCUUGUGCUACUAGAGCGGCCGAUGGCAGAUUAGGUAGUUGGUGGGAUAAAAGCUUACCAAGCCGACGAUCUGUAGCUGGUCUGAGAGGACGAUCAGCCAAACUGGGACGGAGACACGGCCCAGACUCCGACGGGAGGCAGCAGUGGGGAAUUUUGGACAAUGGGCGCAAGCCUGAUCCAGCAAUGCCGCGUGCAGGAUGAAGGCCUUCGGGUUGUAAACUGCUUUUGUACGGAACGAAAAGCCCUGGGUUAAUACCCUGGGGUCAUGACGGUACCGUAAGAAUAAGCACCGGCUAACUACGUGCCAGCAGCCGCAGUAAAAC